rnacentral:rRNA from 1 species
UACAGGGGGUGCAAACGUUGCUCGGAAUUAUUGGGCGUAAAGCGCACGUAGGCGGUUCGUUAUGUCGGAUGUGAAAGCCCUUGGCUCAACUGAGGAAGUGCAUCCGAAACUGGCGAGCUAGAGUAUGUAAGAGGGUCGCGGAAUUCCCGGUGUAGAGGUGAAAUUCGUAGAUAUCGGGAGGAACACCGGUGGCGAAGGCGGCGAUCUGGGACAAUACUGACGCUGAGGUGCGAAAGCGUGGGGAGCAAACAGG